rnacentral:rRNA from 1 species
CACGUAGGGCGCAAGCGUUGUCCGGAAUUAUUGGGCGUAAAGAGCUCGUAGGCGGUCUGUUGCGUCCGCUGUGAAAACUCGGGGCUUAACCCCGAGCCUGCAGUGGAUACGGGCAGACUAGAGGUAGGUAGGGGAGAAUGGAAUUCCCGGUGUAGCGGUGAAAUGCGCAGAUAUCGGGAGGAACACCGGUGGCGAAGGCGGUUCUGCUGGGACGGUACUGACGCUGAGACGCGAAAGCGUGGGGAGCGAACAGG